rnacentral:rRNA from 1 species
UACGUAGGGUGCGAGCGUUGUCCGGAAUUAUUGGGCGUAAAGCGCGUGUAGGCGGCUUUGCAAGUCGGGUGUGAAAGCCCUCGGCUCAACCGAGGAAGUGCGCCCCGAAACUGCAGAGCUUGAGUGCCGGAGAGGAUAGCGGAAUUCCCCAAGUAGAGGUGAAAUUCGUAGAUAUGGGGAGGAACACCGGUGGCGAAGGCGGCCAUCUGGACCGACAUUGACGCUGAGGCACGAAAGCGUGGGGAGCAACAGG